AACGAACGCUGGCGGCGUGCCUAAUACAUGCAAGUCGAACGCACAGCGAAAGGUGCUUGCGCCUUUCAAGUGAGUGGCGAACGGGUGAGUAACACGUGGACAACCUGCCUCAAGGCUGGGGAUAACAUUUGGAAACAGAUGCUAAUACCGAAUAAAACUUAGUGUCGCAUGACACAAAGUUAAAAGGCGCUUUGGCGUCACCUAGAGAUGGAUCCGCGGUGCAUUAGUUAGUUGGUGGGGUAAAGGCCUACCAAGACAAUGAUGCAUAGCCGAGGUGAGAGACUGAUCGGCCACAUAGGGACUUAGACACGGCCCAAACUCCUACGGGAGGCUGCAGUAGGGAAUCUUCCGCAAUGGGCGAAAGCCUGAUGGGGCAACGCCGCGUGUGGGAUGAAGGCUUUCGGGUCGUAAAGCACUGUUGUAUGGAAAGAACAGCUAGAAUAGGGAAUGAUUUUAGUUUGACGGUACCAUACCAGAAAGGGACGGCUAAAUACGUGCCAGCCGCCGCCGUAA
rnacentral:rRNA from 1 species